rnacentral:rRNA from 1 species
UACAGAGGGUGCAAGCGUUAAUCGGAAUUACUGGGCGUAAAGCGUGCGUAGACGGUUGCGUAAGUCAGAUGUGAAAGCCCCGGGCUCAACCUGGGAACAGCGCUUGAGACUGGCACGCUCGAGUUCGGGAGAGGAUGGUGGAAUUCCCAGUGUAGAGGUGAAAUUCGUAGAUAUUGGGAAGAACACCGAUGGCGAAGGCAGCCAUCUGGACCGACACUGACGCUGAGGCGCGAAAGCGUGGGGAGCAAACAGG